GCCUCUGUAGCUCAGUUGGUUAGAGCGCUGCGCCUGAUUCGCAGAGUCGUAGGUUCAAUUCCUACCAGAGGAC